AACGAACGCUGGCGGCAUGCCUAACACAUGCCAGUCGAACGAGACCUUCGGGUCUAGUGGCGCACGGGUGCGUAACGCGUGGGAACCUGCCCUUAGGUUCGGAAUAACUCCCCGAAAGGGGUGCUAAUACCGGAUAAUGUCUUCGCACCAAAGAUUUAUCGCCUUUGGAUGGGCCCGCGUUGGAUUAGCUAGUUGGUAGGGUAAAAGCCUACCAAGGCGACGAUCCAUAGCUGGUCUGAGAGGAUGAUCAGCCACACUGGGACUGAGACACGGCCCAGACUCCUACGGGAGGCAGCAGUGGGGAAUAUUGGACAAUGGGCGAAAGCCUGAUCCAGCAAUGCCGCGUGAGUGAUGAAGGCCUUAGGGUUGUAAAGCUCUUUUACCCGGGAUGAUAAUGACAGUACCGGGAGAAUAAGCUCCGGCUAACUCCGUG
rnacentral:rRNA from 1 species